rnacentral:rRNA from 1 species
UGCCUACGGGGGGCAGCAGUGGGGAAUAUUGGACAAUGGGGGGAACCCUGAUCCAGCGACGCCGCGUGAGUGAAGAAGUAUUUCGGUAUGUAAAGCUCUAUCAGCAGGGAAGAAAGAAAUGACGGUACCUGACUAAGAAGCCCCGGUUAACUACGUGCCAGCAGCCGCGGUAAAACGUAGGGGGCGAGCGUUGUCCGGAAUGACUGGGCGUAAAGGGUGCGUAGGCGGCAUAAUAAGUUAGAAGUGAAAUACCCAGAGCUUAACUCGGGUGCUGCUUCUAAGACUGUUGAGCUUGAGUGCGGGAG